rnacentral:lncRNA from 1 species
CAAAUCUGGGCAAGCAAUAAGAUACACCGGGAGGAAAGGUCAUCAAUGCGAAAAUGGGAUGUCCGAUCCCUCAUCACAUCUUCUUCAGAUUUGUAUGGUCCAGAAAAGUCUGCUAGUGUUGAAAAAUUACCUAGGCAUGUAAAAUUUACUUUUAAGAAUCCUGUUAGGUGCUGCAUUAUUUGGAUCACAUUACAUCUUCAGAGACCUGGUUUGGGUUCAGUUAAUUUCGGGAAGGACUACAGCAUUUGCAGAUGAACCUUCAGAACAAGAUGAUUCAGGAUUGAGAGCUCCACUUGUGGCCACAGGUUUGUCUUUGUCAAACAGAAUCAAGUUAUAUUAUUAUUGUGAUCCUUAUGAGCUCGGAAAAUGGGCAAGCCUUUCUGGAGUUUGAUCGUUAUUUAUAUGUCAGAGAAAGAGUUUUGGGUUUGAUUUUGAUUUGUAAUUUUUGUCAGUUUAUUGAAAUUUUGUUGUUGUAUAAAAGCAGAAUGUAAAGGUAUAAAAAUUCAUUGAUGCUGUAAUGUCUGUACUUUUGAGAAAGAAGAAUUCAAUGUCUUUUCUAUGCCAUUGGAUUUUCCACUGCUGGUAAAACCUGAGCUGUCGAAUGCUCUGUGAACCUUAAGGGCUAGAAAGUAAUUUUCUUUUUUUUUUAAUUCUUUUAUAUACAUAUUAUUAUUGAUAUUACAUUAGACAUUACAAUUACAAUAUUUAUAAUCGUACUAAAUAACUGAGACCAACGUCAUACAUUAACUCACGCCAUACAUUAACUCACUGAAGCACUUGUCCAAAUACUUUAAACCUCUCUAAUAUUCGAGGAGUGUCUACUCUAUUCACAUUUUGUUAGGGAGAGACUGUCUCUACUCAAUUAGUUGAUAAUUAAGAAAGAAUUGAAACUAACCUCCAUAAUGUUCUUAUGAAAGCUCGAACUCUUGCACUCAACAUUAUAAGUGCAAGGUUUCUACCAUUGAACCAAAGACCCAUUGGUGGCUAUAAAGUAAUUUUCAAGAGUGAAGGAUUUAUUAAUCGAGUUCAAAAGAUUGCAAGCUGGUGAGCGUUGGCAUUUAAAAAUCAAUUGUUAUCCUCUCAAUAAUCUCUCUCUUCUGCCGACACCCGAAGCUCAGAAACCCGUUGUUCCGACGGACGUGUAACACUUCCAGAAAUUAGCCUUUUCUUCUAUAUGAAGGUUGAUCUCUCCUCCUGCAGUGUUUUCUUUUUCGAGUGAAGGUGGUUUUCUACUUACAUAUGUCGGGGGUCUUACAAUAUCUAAUGUGUGAAAUUUCUUUCUCAUUUUACCAUAAAGAAAAUGUCAGUAAUGAUUUAAAGCUCGAGUCUUAAAUUAUCUUAAAUUAAGAAUCUCUCAUUACAUUGUCAACCAAAAAGACACUUACAUAAGAAGAAGAAUUUGUCAGUUUGAUUUUAUUUGUAGAUCCAACAUUUCUCAUAUCCUGAGUGCCUUUCCGUAUCAAAUUAAAAUAGUAGUAGCAAAAUCGUAGUGCACAUUUAAUUAACCAACUAAUAGUCUAAGCAAAGAGAGGAUUACAAGUUCACAACACCAUUACAAAGGAUUCAAAAUCCCCGCACGAAAACAUCAAUGUACAGUUAUAAACAACCCGAAUUGGACACAAGAAAAACCCUUCAAUGGAUUGUUUGCCUUCCCAAUGCUAUAUACUGUGCAAACUGCGCACUGGCCAAGAAAAUGUUUUCAAUUUAGUGUACUUUCAAAAUGCUUAUUUUCUCAGAAUAUUAAAAAAAUAAAAAAAUAAAAAAAUAAAAAGAAUUCUUACAUGUUUCAUCAGCAUGAUUAAAAUCAAAGAAGAAAGCGAGACAUAAUGUCUCUGACAUAAUAAAAUUACAAAAAUUUCAAAAAAAAUGUUAAAACAUGUAAACAUGAAAGUAUUUUCAAAAGCAAAAUGGAAUACAUAGAUAAAACAUCAUCUUAAACAAAUCACAAUCUAGAAUUAGAGCAUUUUUGACAUACCUAAGGAAAAAGAAUACGUGAAAAUGGGUGACUCAUUUGCUAAGGAGUGUUGAUUUGAUUGGCUCUGCAAAUUCUCUUGGGGCUCAGUUCCAAUUCCUCUACAUCCAAAGUUCCACUCGCGCUUGGCAAAUCAUCCAAUUUCCAAACUUCGGUAGCAAAAUUGAUAGUAAAAGUGUUGUCUUUUGUUUCGCUGGGAUUUGCAUAUACUGGACAUAAUCCGCAACGUUUUAUCUUGUAAAACUUUCGCUCAGCGAAGAACUUAAAUGUGGCAAUUGUAUGAUGGUAACCAUCAGGAAACCCAACAUUCAAGCAAGGUUUAAAACCAAGUAUGACACGAUCUGAAUCAAUAAGGUCUUCAAUAUAGCGCGAAUUGUAACCCAGAUCAACAUGUUUGGUUUCAGAGAGAGUCUUUAUUUCUAAGUCGAAUUGAAAGCUGACGUAAAAAUAACGAAAACAAUCAGAAUCAACUUUCUUAGAAUCAAGAACAGCACAAAAAGCAAACCCGAUUAAGUUUCUGCAAGAAGAGUGCGGUGGCAGUUGAAUACAUAUCGAAGAUCCUGAACUUUGAUUGCUAAACCAGUCAGGAAUUUCGCUCCCAGGUAAAACAAUUAGGGAUCCCCUGAGUUCAGAAAGUUUCUGUGAAAGGACAUUUAAAAAAAGAAAAUUGUAAAAUGAAAACCAUUGAUUUCAGAUAUAAGAAAGAGGGACAGAGUAAACAAGAGAGGGAAUUUGAUACCUCGUUGAUUGCCAUUUCAUAGCCCAGUCUCAGUGAUGCAAUUGCCAUAUGCCGAAUUCUUAGUAGUGAAUCUGCCAAAAUCUUGUUGUUUGCUUUUCCAUUCAGUUUCAAGCAGUUAGUAAACUCAAAACAAAUUGCUGCUGACUUCAGAGAUUCUGGUGCCCAUUGAAGGUCAGGAGAGUGUUUGGAUAGCUUUUCGAGUACGGAUGCAUCUAGUUCUUGUAGACAUAACAGAAUCUCUGGCAAAGAUUGAAGCCGGUUGCAGUUCCUUACAGUUAGUAACUGUAGACACAAUGGAAGUUCUGGUAAUGACCGAAGCAUGUUACAAUCCUCCAAGUUAAGAUAUUGUAGACACAAUGGAAGUUCUGGUAAUGACCGAAGCAUGUUACAACCCGUCAAGUCAAGAGAUUCUAGACAAAAUGGAAGUACUGGUAAUGACUGAAGCAUCUUACAAUCAAUCAAGUGAAGAUAUUUUAGGCACAAUGGAAGUUCUGGUAAUGACUGAAGCAUAUUAAAAUCCUCUAAGUGAAUAAACCUCAGCUGCGACAUUUGCUUGAUAAUUGCAGGUAAACUCUCAAAGUUAUUUCCACUUAGAUACAAUAUUUCCAGUGAGGAUAGAUAGGCAAUCUCUUGUGGAAUUUCCCUUACAGCAUAGUCACUUAUAUGUAGAAGUCCCAUAGCAGAUAAACCUAAUAAAAAUGUUCGAGGAAAUGAUUCCAAACCUUUGCAGUGAGAGGAGUCAAGACUUCUAAGCAUGUUUGACAAUGCAACAGAGGAUGGUAGUUGACUAAUAGCUGAUGCAGCUGCUAAGAUGUAAUACAAAUAUUCUAAAGAGCCAAUGUUAUCCGGUAAAUUAUCAAGUUUAGAGCAAUCUUCUACGAACAAUACUUCAAGCCCCGGUAGAUUUUCAAAUGACGAUGGCAGCUCUGUAAUUGGCGUCCUGUCUGAAUAGAUGCGUUUUAAAUGUUCCAUUUUCUCCAAGAUUUCUGGGAAAUGCUCAAGGUUCAAGCAGCCAAGAAGAAUAAGCGUAACCAAAGAUCUCAAUUUACAAAAGCUUGUUGAAAUCCGCUUCAGCCGUUUGCAACCCCUCAAAUCCAACACUUCAAGAUCAGUUAGACACUCUAUUGAUGAUGGAACUUCUUCUAUUGCAGACUGGCCUAAGUAUAGCCGUGUAACUUUCCCAGAAAUUUGUGGAAACUCUAUGAGAUUAACACAAUAGGAGAAAUUAAUAGUUACUGGACAAACAAAAUGAAGAUUGCUUGGAAAAGACCUAAGACUUUGGCAGCCCUUAAAAGACAACGCACUGAGAUACUUGAAAUUCUGGAUAGAUGAGGGAACACAAGCCUUUUCUCCUUCCCAAGGUUGCUCAACUUUACUACAACGCAAAUUCAGUUCAACAAGGUUCUUUGGCUUGAAAUUUGAUGGCAGUGUCCUUAAUGGAUAUGUGUCCCAAUGAAGAUAUCUCAAUUUUUUAGGAAGAUAAUCUAGGCCAUUUGGAAGCUGCACUUUAGAGUAUGAAAGUUGCUCUUCAGUGCUCAUGCUUGGAAGCUUUUCAAUCUCAUAAAACUUAGGUACAUAAAAUUUGAACAAUCUCAGAUUAGACAUAUUUGUGAAGGCUCUGGGGUCUAAAUUGAUGCCUUUUAUUUUGGACAGAUCUAGAAAUAUGCCUUCAAUUGCAUCGGUCCCCUUAUAAAAAAAAAAACAAAAACAAAGAAUGGGUAAGCCUAAAACAGAAAAGAAACAUUCGUAAACUUUAUUAACUAAGAGCUCCUUAAACAAAACAAAUUCUACAAUCUUUGAUUUAUUUUUUAAAUAUAUUAAAUAUCUAUAUGCGAGAAAAGAAAAUUUUGGGGACCAUUGCAAAAUUAAACUAACCGAAAAAAAAAAAUCAAAAUUUCUCUAAUUUACAAACCUGUUAUCUUAAUAUUUAGAAGUUGAGAAGACAUGGCUUAUUUGAUUGGUAUAAGAUUUCGAAUUUUUUUAGAGUCCAUAGAAUCCAAAAUAUUAGUCCAAAAUUAGGGAAAAAAAUGAAAGAUUUUUUUACCACUAGCUAUAAUUGUAUUCAAGUCAAAUUGAGAUACGACCCUUUUCGAAAGAAUUUAUCCGUCUUACAGCCUCCUUAAGAUACAUUUAAGCUAAAAGGAGUGAUUGGAGGCAGAACUAGGUGGGCCAAUCAGUCCAUUUUAUUAGCGAUUGUUGCUUAAAAAAAAUGAUACUCUAAAACACACUUACUUUUUUUGAAAAAAAAAUAUAAUUAUAUUGAAAUAGAACCAGGUGGGCCAAUUCUCAUGGCACUCACUUUGUUCUUACACACUUCACUAAAUUUGAAGAAAAAUAAAAUUAUACUCUUCACACUCUUAUUCAACAUUUCAAAAUUGAUAAAAUCUGGAGUUUUCUUUAAAAUUUUAAAAUUUGAAGACUUGUUCUCUUGACACCCUCAGUCAUUAAUUUCACCUAAUUAUGGUUUUGAUGAUUUUGGUUGUUUUGUUCAUAAAAUAAUUUUACUAAAGGAUGUUCUCGUAAUAAUAAAAAUUAUAAAAAAAACAUAGGUGUGCUGGUGUGGUUGGGAAAAUACGAGUGCAGAACUCGAAACAAAUAAAAGAUGUAUAAAAUAAUGGAGGAUUCUUACCUUAUUAUGCUUUAGUACGCGGCUGAUUUCCUUAGGAUCCCACAACCUGCUGCGUUUGCCUGGCUCUUUCUCAGAUUCUUGGCGAACAAUCUGUCGCCCCAUUUCUUGCAAUAUAUCAUGCAUGUUCAAGAAAUUACCUGAUAUUGAUACGAGUGACUUAUCAAUAAGGAUAUCCAGCACAUCAGACUCAGAAUCAUCAAGAAUGCUUGCCACAAAAUCUUUAUCCUCUCCCUCAAAGAAACACGCAAUAUCUAGAAAUAUACUCUUCACCCUGGGCGUUAAUUUGUUAAAACUAAUCUUUAAUAUAUCAUAAAUAUCAUGAAUUUCAGAUUCACAAAUCCGAUUUAAGUCGUGCAAUACUUUUCCCCAAUGGCUUUUCCUCUUGAGGCACAGGGAGGAACCCAACACUUCAAGAACUAAUGGAUUGCCUUUGGUAUAUGAUACAACACUCCGUGAGUGCCAGUUGAGAUCUUCAGGACAAUGAUUUUCUUUAAAAGCGAAGUUACAAAAAUGCUCGAAAGCCUCUUCAAAUUCCAAUCCAUUAACCCUAUAUAUUUUCUUCUCCUCCCCUCUAAAUUUUUCGAGGACUCGUUUGUCUCUGGUGGUUACAACAAUUCUACUUCCUUGACCAAAUUGAUCAAGCUCUCCAAUCAGACGCUUUAAUUGUCCAACUUCAUUCACAUCAUCGAGUACUAUCAACAACUUCAUGCGUCGGACCCUCUCUUUAGUAAAAUGUGGAAUAUUGGGACCAGCUACUUCAAGUUUUUCGCUUAAUGUUGUUGAAAGCAUUUGCUUUUGGAGAUGUUCUAAUCCACCCGCCGUUUCUGAGUUUCCCCUAACAUCUGACACAAAGCAACUACCUUCAAAUUCAUGGGAGAAUUGGUCGAAAAUAGCUUUGGCAAGGGUGGUUUUGCCGAUACCACCCAUGCCCCAAAUUCCAACAAUUUGGACGGUAUCCGAUGAAUCCAUACACAGAAAUGGUUUAAUCUGCUCAAUUCGUGAAUUUAAUCCAACUAGGCCAUUGGAUGAGUCCGUUGAGACUGUUAUUUUUUCCAACUUCUUCAAAACAUCUUCGACAAUUUUGUUUACAAGUUGCGCAUCAUGCCUAAUACAAAGGUGCAAAGAUGCAAAAACAUUGAGUCAAAUCGGGCCAUGACAGAAACAGAGAAAAGAUGAAUUAGGAAAGAGAGUUACCUGAAUUUCGCGGAUUCGUGGCCGGCUAGAUGGGAUGUUUCUGUCAGUGCAUCCCUCCACUUCAGAACCAUUUCUGGUUUAUCUUGGAACUGUUUUUUGAGCUCAUCAAAACCGUCUCCAAAAGUUCCAUUUUGAUGCCGCACAUCAGAUGGACUUACUCCAUAGAAAACCGGAAUAAUGAUUUGGCCCUUCAUCUUCUUGCAUUCAAGAAUCUUGAGAAGUUCAUGCAGGCACCAUUUUGAAGAAGCGUAGUCCUUUGAGAAAAUGACCACCGAAAUUUUUGAACCUUGGAUUGCGUUCAAAAGGGCAGGUGAAAUCUCAUCUCCUCGCCUAAGCCCUUCAUCAUCAAUAAAUGUUCUGAUUUUCUUUCUUUCAUACAAAUUAUCAUAGAGAUGGCAAGUAAAGCUCGUACGAGUGUCCUCCCCUCUAAAGUUGAGGAAGACUUCAUAAUUGCCAGAAGAAGAAGAAGAGGAAGCCAUGAAGGAAAUUUUAGAAAUUUUGGUGACAGAAACAGAGAAUUAUUCUUGGAAGUUGAGAGAGGAGAUGUAAGAAUGAACAUGUGUGAAGAUUCUUGCGAGUACAUAGUAAAUAAUUGAAUGGCUGGAGCUUUCUUAGUUUCCUGGAAAUUUCCUGGAGCUUUCGUAUACAUGAUUUGUCAAGUCAUGAAAUAUAAUCAUGAUAAUGGGGCAGACCAGGAAGAAAAGCAACAAUUCAAAUAUUUGAUUCGACCAAUAAGGGAAGGAAAAGCAAAGAAAGGAAAUGUUGAAAGUAGAUGUAGGGAAUUAUAAAAAGCAAAAGGAAAAUGGAAUUUUGUGCAAUUUCAAUAUGAGAACCUAUAUUGGGAGAUAUUAUAAUCGAAUUAAAACUUAAAAUUUCAAUAUUAUUAUUCUUUUUUUAAAAAUUGAGAUAUCAGAGUAAUAUCACAUAGAAAAACUUGCCCACGGUAAGCCAAAAGUCUAGUCAACCACAUGCAUAAAGCUAACUAGAACAAGAGAACAGAGAAACGCGUGGGUCCCUAAAAGAAAAGGCAAGCACAUAAAUAAAUGAAAAAGCCAUGACGUUUCUAUUUUACAUGUCAUUCCUAAUUUUUGUAACACGGUGUGGCAGCAUAUGCACAAUCAAAUGAAGCAAAAGGGGUUCAACUAUCGUGGCAGAACAUGGACGAGGACGCGUGAUGAAUAAUUCCUUCGAUAAAACGAAAAACAAACGCAGAGAAAAGAAUUUCUUACAUGACAAGAAAUCAAAGUAAUGUGAAGGAACAUGAUGAAGAAAUUGCAGACCGAUCAAUUAUCCCCAUGGACUCCUAUAAAUUCAACCAAAAUAACAAUUCCAAUAUUACCAAAUUCUUGAGUUAAAUUUAUUCAAUGCUUUUAUUUUUGGGGGAAAUUAGAACCGCGGCAAGUAUAGAAGACAUUGAGGUGUAAAGCAACAUUAAUUUCAUGGGUUAUGCCUUAUACACAUAAUAUAUUUUCAGUCCAAAUUCAACUAUGCAAAGAGGCUUGAGAACUUAAAAUUAAGCACAAACUAAACAGACGAAGUAAAUACAUGAUUAUGCAACAUAACAUUAAUUCUCUCAAUUUAUAACUGUUUUUGCUACAUGAAUCUUGCACAGUUAAUCCUAAUUGAAUUCUAAAAAAGAACGAUUGGAACAAUGUUAUUUCAAAAACGUACGUUCAUAAGCGGGUCGGUCAGCAGAGUAGAAACCUUGGAUCAGGGUAUCAACUUGGAAACCAAAUUUCUUGUAAAGAUUCACAGCGGGAGUUCUCAAAGGAUCAACAUGAAGCGUUAUGCAGAGCACAGUUCUGGUUCUGCAUUUCUUAAUUGCUGCUUCUAGCAGUGCCUCUCCGUGACCUUGUCCCCGAUAAUUCUCCUUCACUAAUUAAGUUAACCCCAAAACCCAUUAAUUUCAUGUCAAUUAAAAAGAAAAAGAGAAUGAAUAACUAACAAAUAUUUCUUUGAGGACUUUUAUCAAACAGUUGAGAUGGCGGGCAUGCAGUGGAAAUUUCAACAAUGGGGACAAAGAUAUGGGACCUGCAAGCUUGGUGAUAGAAGCAGACAAGGAAGUAGGCCACGCGUACAUGACGUGGCCAACGACUUGUCCGUGAAUCUGAAUGUAAAGCAGGCCUGAGUUCUUCUUUUUCAGUUCCUCAUCAAAAGAUCUUGCCAGUGAUUCGUGCUUGGGAAAAAUCUUCUUCUCCAUCUUCACAAUCUCGUCCACUACGACAGUCCAGUUCGUUGAGUUUCUCUGCAGCUCCGUGACGGUUCCAUUACUCCCCAUGGCACGUGGCUUGUUGCAACUUACAGCUGAUCCAGCACGUAUAGAAAAUUAGAAAUGAAGCCUCCUAGCAUUCUUUCGAACAGGCAAAAAAAGUCAAUGGACAUAGUGGUGCCAUGUGUGGAAAUGUUAAGAAGAUGAUGAAGCCCCCAAGAGGCCAGCGUGGCGUGGCAUUGCACCUCAUCAUUUUUUUAAUGCUAAUCUGUAGAGCGGCCCAAAAUGCCGGCACAAUAUAUAGCUGGCAAAGCCCACCCAAGCCCAACUAUUUGGGCCAACAUAUCAUAAAUUAAUACAAAUAUAAAAUGCACGGUACAACGCAGACAAAGAUGAUUUGUGCAGAUAUGUGCUUCCUUUAUGGGUUUAAUUAUAUUGGUACCGCUCUAAGGUAGAGUAUUCUUUCAUAACUACAUGAUUAAAGUCAUAAUGAAUUUUUUAUUAUUUAUUAUUUUGCGUGUGUGAUUGAGAUUCGUGAUCCACCAUAGAUUAGCUCCAACAUAGCAGUAGCCUUCUUUUAUUGCUCAUCAUCUUUAGCAAACAGUCAUUGGCUUUGGAUGUUGCUACAAUUUAUUUUGCAUAAUUGACAAGGAUAGUCGAUGUGCAUAAUGUUGGAAAUUUUAUUAUAAUAUAUCAAAACACGUAAUAAUUGUUUAACUAUAUUAAUACUGGAUUAAUUUGACGAAUUAUGAAAUGACAGUAGGCAUUAUAUUUUAGAGGAAAAAUUAAAUAUAACAACCUAAAAAGUAGGGAUAAUCUCUUAACCAAACUAAAGAUGUAGGACAUCUAAAAGUAAAUUUAGCUAAUGUGUAGUACAAUUACAACAUCUUAGAAUAUGUCAAAACUUGAAGUGUUGUUGUGUUGAAAUAAGUUCCUAUACUAUUAUGGACAUGUAUGAGAUGUACUAAAAACAAAUUAAAUAACCCACAAUAGAUAUGACACGACCACCAAAAGAGACACACUAUUCUCACUAGGUAGUUGUAACAAGAGCGAAAUGUUUUAACCUAUAUCUACAUGCAUUACUAGAAAAAAAGGUCUUUAUUACAAGUAUUACCUACCAUCUAUCAUGUUGCACGAUAAUUGAGUGACCGUCAUUGAUUUCGGUGUCAAGAAAAUAAGAUGAUUGUUUACAUACGUCAUUUUAUGUAUGACAUAUUAUCUGAUACUAUUUUGGUCAUAACUGUUUUGAUGAAAAAUUUCGCGUAUGAUUAAUAUUUGUCAUAAUCACUUCCAUGCAUGACUAAUAUGUAUCAUAAGAUAAUGACAUAUACAAAUAAAUUUGGUGGGAUUCCAAAAUUUUAAAUGAAUUUUGUUGUGAAUUUCAAAAUUUAGUGGAUAUUCAUAUUUUUUUAUUCCAUUAUUAAUUUAUUCCAUUUGUUAUUAUUUGUAUUUAAUUAAACAAAUAGUUGAAGGAAGGUCCCACCCUAACAAAAAGUUGAUGGUUGUUAUACACUAUAAAUAAGAGCGAUAACGUCAUUAUCUGCGCAGACCAAAGAGAAUUUCAAUAACUAAGUUAAUUUUAUUUAAAUAAAAAAUCUCAAUUAUAUACACGAAAGCUCGGCACGUGUGUCAGUCGCAUAUCUGAUAAUAUAUAUACACACACAAACACAUACACACAUAUACAUAUACAUAUACAUAUAUAUCUAUAUAUAAAUUUUAUUUAUAAUCUUGUAAACUGAAUUUUAUAAAAUUAUAAAAUAGUAAAAGCAUUGUAAACACUUCUCAAAUUUUAAUUCUAAAUUUUAAUUUUAGACCUGAAUAUAUACCCACACAUAUGGCAUAGGUAAUUCCUCCAUAGACUCUAGAGUUUGGGUUAAUUUUACUUCCAAGAUUAUUCAAAAUAGUAUUUUUAAUUUAUAUAGUUUAAAUAUUCAAACAAAUCUAACAUAUAACAAAGAUACACACACACACACACACACACACACACACACACACACACACAACAUGUAAAUUAAUAUUAAAUGUAAAAUAAAAUAUAAGUGUGCAAAUGAAACAUAAGACUUGUGAAUGGAAGGUAAAACAAUUAAAUCAACAUAAGAGUGGUAAAUUGAUAUAUUACCGGUAAAUAAAAUAAAAGCUUAUAAAUAUAACAUCAAACUUAUAAAUCAAUAUUAAGUGUAAAAUAAAACAUAAAUGAUGUAAAUGGAAUAUAAGACUUGUGAAUAAAAGGUAAAAUAAGUAAAUUAAUAUAAGAGUGGUAAAUUGAUAUAUCAUUGGUGAAUAAAAUAAAAUUUUUUAUUAAUAUAACAUAAAACUUGUAAAUCAACAUUAAAUAUAAAAUAAAACAUAAAUUAAGUAAAUAAAACAUAAGACAUGUAAAUAGAAUAUAAAACAAGUAAAUUGAGAAAGGAGUGGUAAAACGAUAUAUUAGUAAAUAAAACAUAAACUUACAAAUGUUACAUAAAACUUGUAAAUCAACAUUAACUAUAAAAUAAAAUAAAAAGUAAGUAAAUAAAAUAUUAAACCUGCAAAUAGAAAGUAAAACAAAUAAACUAACAAAAGAGUGGUAAAAUUAUGUAUUAUUGAUAAACAAAAUAUAAACUUACAGAUGAAACAUAAAAAUUAUAAAUCACUAUUAAGUGUAAAAUAACAUAUGAAUUAUGUAAAUGAAAUAGAAGAUUUAUAAAUGAAAUGUGAAAUAAGUAAAUAUUAUAAGAAUUAUUAAGAAAAUAAAACUUACAAAUAUAAAAAUAAAAACUCACUACAAUAAUGAUUACCUUAUAUAUUUAUUGUUUUUAUUUCUAAAUUGAAUGAUGAUAAUUUUGGGUCUAUAUAAUACAUGUAAUGAUAUUUGUGAAAUUUUAUUAAGGAUAAAACUUAUUUCUAAAAUCAAAUUUUGAAAAAAAAAUUUCAUAUUUUUCAAAAUUGUUUGCAAGAGAAGUGAUUUUGCAUCCUAAACCUGCUUGACAACAACCCUAAAUAAGAUUUUUUUUUUUUUUUUUGGCUUGAUUCACAUUAAGAAAAAUAAUUUUACUUAAUUAACUUGUAUAUUUAACAAAUAAUAUGACGGAAAAAGAAAAAAAGGUUUAUAAGUGUCCUAGCAUGAACAUAGAAUUUAUGGUUAAACCAAUUUAAUGAAAUUUAUUCCAAUUGUCUUCAAUAUAAAUUAUUUGUUUUCAAUUGAACAGCAACUUUUUUCAUUACUUAAAUAAUUAAAAAAUAAUUUUUUUUAAAAUUAAAGUUUCAUGCUAAUUUACAAGCUUAUGUUAUUUUAUAAGUAACACUAAUUUACAGUUCUUAUAUUAAUUUACUUGUUUUACCUUUUAUUUACUAUCUUUAUAUGUAAUUUAUGAAAUUUAUAUUUAUCACGAUAUUGAUAUCGUAAUUUUAAUCACGGUAUUGUAGAAUUUUCCUUAACGACAAAUAUGAGCUUGAUAUCGUCUUUUCAUCUGCAACUUCCUUUAUUUAUUUAUUUAUUUAUUUAUUUUGAGAGAGAGAGGGCAACUUCCUUUGAUUCAAAAUUGGGAACUUUUUGGCCUUUCAACUUAGGCUAAUGUUAAUUGCUAAGUUACACACAUGUAACUUACAAUCAUCUCACAUGAAUAGUGAAUGGUGUGGGCUCACUCACUAUUUAUGUGAAAGAGUUGUAAGUUAUAUGCGUGUAACUUAGGGGGAUCCUUCAACUUAACCUUACUAAACAUCUUCGAUCCUUUCACUAAAUUAAAGUUUUCUCAGUCUCCUUGCCCAUGUCAAAAGACUAAAAUACCCUUUAGGCAUCAAAAUUUCUCAAUAAGACAUGGAGAUGAAAAGAAUUUAUUAUGUGACUGUUCUAAUGCUAUAUUGAUGGUGUGUAAGACAUUACAAUUGUAGGAAGAAGAGGAUGAAGUCAUGAAACACAGACGAAUGAAAUUAAAAAUCUACUUUUUUUAUUUUAAAUAUCUACUGUUGGGUUAUACAAGAUCAAUAGAUGAGAAUUUAUGUCAAUAUUUGAAAUUAAAAAUUUUAAUUAAAAUGGCUAGUCCUUUUUUAAUACUUUUUAAAUAAAUUCUUCAGUGUAAUAUGACAACUGAAAUUUGUACAAGGUAAUCUGAAAAUUAAACGAAUCUAAAAUCUAAAAAUAACUUUCAAAAACGGAUGAAAAUCACUGAUUAAGAAUAAUAUAUUAUGUGGUUGAAGCUUUCGUUUUAUCAAUCUUCUUUCUACCAUUGAUUUUCCCACGACUUUCCGGUUUCAUUUCUUGAAUCUCCAUGGAAACUUUCAAUAAACCAUAAAAUAAACUAGCGGUGUUUGGUUUUAAGAAAGGGAAUGAGAGGAAAAUAGUGAAAUGUAAGGAAAAUGAGAAAAGAGGAGUGAAAAAGGAUAGUGAAAUUAAAUUUCAUUAUUUAGUUUGACAUAAAAUUUGAUAGGGAAAAGAAUUGUAAUUUUUUUCUUUGGAUAAAUUUAUCCUUUGCCUUAAAUAUUAAAUUAUCUAUAUUAGUAAUAAAAUAUAAUUUAAUAUUAAUACCAAACUUUUUUAAUUUCAAAAAGUUCUAAAACAAUUCAUGAUUUAUAUUUAAUAUAAAAUAUAAAAAUAAUUUAAUAUAUUAAACUAUUUAAUAUAAUUUAAUAUAAAUAAAAGCUAGACAACAUAAGUCAACGCCGGUCAACAUAAGUCAUCACCGGUCAACAAAAGUCAACAUCGGCCAACACAGGUCAAUGGAAGUCAAACGCCGGCCGGAUAUUUUCUGACAAAAUUCCGGCGAGUUCCGGCUGAGAUCCGGUGUACCGACGGUGGUUCGGCGAAUUCCGGCGGUUGUCCGGUGACCUUCCGGAAAGGUCCACAUGGAAGUCCAUUUAUAAUGUUAAAUCAAUAAAAUAAAAUUAUAAAUAAUAAUUAUUAAUGACAUUAAAUAAAUUUAAAAAAUGAAAGGUUAUUUUGAAAAUUUUAGUUUCUAAUAUAAGAAAAUUUUAAAUUAUUCACUGCUAAGUCUGAAAUUCAAAUUCUACAUUAUAAUGAAUAUUAAAUUCAAAUGGAAAUUAAAUUCUUAUACAUUUUCUCAAAUUAAAUAAUAGAAAUAAAAGAAUUUUAAAUUAUUUUUCUCUCCUACAUUCUCUCCUCCCAACCAAACACCAUUUAAUGAAUCAUUUUCUGGAACACAACUAUAAUUUUAAUAAAUGGGCGGACCAUCUAGAAUAGUAUAUAUAAUUCUGUUUAAUUAAUAAGUUGAAAAAACCAUCAAGAGAAAUUCUAAUAUUAUGAGCUUGACACAAAUUCUUCACUAAUUCCAAAAUAAGGAGUUGUUUUAUAAGAACUGUGGUGUCUAUGUUUUCUAUACAUUUCGCUGCUAACUUUAACCAAUUACUUUAUUUCAACUUUAUUUUCUGGCGGGCACUAUAUGGUGGGUCCAAAAUGGGACCUACAAUAAUCAAUCAUAAGAUUUAGUACGGCUAUCAAAUAGCUAGUGCUAUUUUGGGUUUGAUGGAAGAGAUUGAAUAUUUAAUUUUAACUUAACCAUUCAACUAAUUAGAAAAUAAAUAAAAUUAAAUGAAAUAUUUAGAUAUUAAUUUAAAUAUUAAUAUCGGGAUAUAAAUUAAUUAUAAUAUAGUUCAUUACAUAAAAUUGAUUAAAUUAAUAAUUACACACGAACAUAGAUGUAUAUGCGUUCCAAUUUCCAAAGUGCUCAAAGCACUUUUCUCACCGAACUUUCCUCUGAAUUUCCCAUAGCUGACUCCUUUGUUUGCAUUUUUGGAAAUUUUUAGGAGCUUUUUCUAUUUAGUAUAUUGUACAUUUUUCUUUUCAGGUGAGAUUAAUUUAACUUAAAUUAGAAAAUCUUAUCUUUUUUUAAUAUUAUUUAAAUAAAAUCUGUCUAUCUUUCAUUUUAUCUGUCUACUUUCUACCCAUUAAUUAAGACUUUUCGAUUUCUUUUUGCCUAAGAUUUUCAUUGACUAUCUUUCAAUAAACCAUAAAAAUUACUGUGUCAUUUAUCGAUUAGAUGACCAUAUUUCAAAAUAUCAACAAUAAGUUGCUCUUAAAUAUUUCAUUAAUUGUUGAAGAAUUGUGAUCAGUGUGGACAUCUACAUAAAAAUUAUAUUGAAACACAGCUAAAAGAUAAAAAAAAAUAAAAUAAAUAGCAAUACACUAAAAUGUUUUAGUUGUCGUUAGUUUUCAGUUUCAUUACUUAAGUCCCACGUGCAUAAGUCACGUGACUGAGGUCAAAAAAAUGAUUGUCACAUUAAAGUUCGAGGUACCGAGAGGGGUAAUUAAGGAGUGGAGCUAUUGACACCCCUAGAUUAAUCUUACAAAACCCCACUUUAAAUAAAAUUACAAUUAAGGACAAUUGAAAAUUAAACAAUUAUAGAUUUUUUUUUACAGUAAAUUACUUAAUUCAUAAUCAAUCCUUUUUAAAAAAAAAAAAUUAUAUGUUACGUCCUAUCUAACUAAAAUAAAUUGUACAAAUUUAGAAUAAUCUAUUAUUCUCUUUUGAUUUCUUAUUGAUUAAAUAUUUUUAUACUUAAAAUUGCUUUGAAAUUAUAAUUUGAAAUAUGUGUUAUUUCAGCCAAUGAUUAAUACAAAAAAAUUAUCACCCAUAUAAUUUUUUAAUUUUUUUGUAGGGUAAUAAUAAAAUUGAAAAUAAUUAAAAAAAAUAGCACAAUAAUGAGUUUUUACAAUAAAACAAAUCAAAUAAAAAUUGAAAAUUUAGAAAAGUGUAUCUAAAAAAAGGGGCAUUUUUAAAAAUAAAAUGAAUAUAACUAAAAAGGAGGUUUUAUGAGGGGAUUAGAGGGGUGCCAAUAGUCCAACUCUUAUAUUUAAAGCUAUUUUGACUUUGUAUUUCCAAUGAUAUAUUUAUUAGGUAAUUUUUAAUUGAGUCAUUAUUUGUAGAAAAGUUUUCUGAGGCCAGAAGUUUAUAAAAUGAAUCAAUUAAAUCCCUCUAAGUAUAAAUUUAUGUCAUUCAAGUCUUUAACUUAAUUUCUUCAUUAAAAUUAUUAACAACAUCUAGGACAUUUUAGUUAAAAAACAAUUAAGCACCUUCUCAUUCUUUAUUUUUGACAAUUGACAAUAGUUUAAAGUAAAUUCAAGUAACCUAAAUUAAUGUUCUUUUAAAAAAAAAGGUUAGUUAAUGUGCAGGCAAGCAAUAUCACUUCAUGAACUGCACAUGUCUGAUUUCUUUUGAUACAAGUGGAUUUCUUUUAUAUAUAUUCAUUAUGUUAUCAAAUGAAUUAAUAAAUUGAUGAUCCUAGUGAUGUGUAGGCAACCAAUAGGACAUCACUAGUUAUACAUAUUUGAUUUGAUCGUGAAAUCCUAUAGAUUAAUUGUUUUUAAUAAAAAGAAAUUGAAGUCUUUUUUUUUUUCAUUUUUGGAAGGCAUGGAAUUAGCCCACAAUCUCAAUAAGUAGAUGUUAAUGAACAAGCAGUUGGCAAUAAUUCUGAACAUGCGAAUUAGACUUCAAUCAAUGUCGCUCAACCUGUGGGACAACAUACACAAAUUUUAUGGGUUGUACCUCAACCUCAAAAUGAAGAACCUAUGUUUUCGACAAGGAGUAGAAUAGUACAAUAUUUGCCUUGGGCUGGCAUUUAAUUCUCCAUCAUAGAAUCUAGAAGACAAUUAUCUAUUUCUUGUACUUGAAUUUCAGUUUACCUUAAUGUUGUCAAGGUGUUUGUUAGUUUCAAUUUAAUUGACUUUCAUACUUUUAGUUUCAUUUUUAGACCGAAUGUUAUUGUGGCUUUUCUAAUAUUAUAUUCAAUACAUGUUAUUUAGUUUAACAAUCAUCAUAUAUCUUAUAGACGUGAUGGAAUUAUAUGGAUAGGAAAUUACAUUUUCAUGUGUAAUUCCAAGAGUUAUGAUGGUUAUGUUUUUUAAUGGUGCUCUCUAUAUUUGAAUUAGUUUAAAAAAACUGACUAAAGAUUUUGUUUAAAUUGUUGCAGAGUUUUGUUCCCGGUUGCUCAAAUGGGUAAAACAGGCUGUUAGACUCGAAAAAAAAAAAAUUAAUGCCUAAAGGUAAAAUUGUACUUAAAGUCAUUAAUAUGAUAUAUAUGGGAAUAUAGUUAUCUUUUUAUGUUUAAAUUAACGUUUUCACUAACUUUUAUGACAAAAGAAUUAGCUGAAAAAUCUGAAAGAUAUAAAUUUAUAUUUAAAAAGGUUUAAUUGAUUCAUUUUAUGAACUUUUGGUCUUUGAAUUUUUUUUCUAUAAAUAAUAAGGACUCAAUUAAAGAUCACCCUAUUUAUUCUUGGCUGUUUAAAAAAACAAAAGAGAUGACUAGAGUUGAUCACUUUGACUAUAACGUGGGUCAUAUUGGUUGUUCUUAUAAUGGCAUGUCGAAUUUGGGAUGACUAUUACGUUGAGGGCUUGAGGUGGGAUUUCUUUCAGCUUAAAAAAAAAAAGUAUGCCGCCAAAAUUUUGCUUAGAAAGUUAAAUGUACCACUGUCAAAGGACAAUCUCACCUCUUACCAUUAACUUCGACCGUUAAAUCUGCUAUAUUUAACUAGUUUUGACCUAUGCAAUAAUUUUUUCUUAUAAGUUGUGUCAUGUGUGGAAGCUCUUUUCUAAAAAUAGAAAGGUAAAUUUGUUUUUUUUUUUUUCGGUAAGAGAUGGAAGUGGUUUUCUAAAAGUAAAGAGAUGAACUUGUUCUUUUCUUAAAAGUUUCGGGGCUAUAAGUCUCUUAACCUAAAGUUAUAAUUAUAAUUGCACUAAUAAUACAAUAAAUUUUUUAUAAAUAAAUAUUUAAGAAAUUAAUAACUUUGGGUGAAUAACAAACUUCUCCUCCCCCCCCCCCCCCGGAACUUGCACUAUAUUAAAUUAGUAAAUUUAUUAAAUGCAUAUGAUAAUAUAUUUUUUAAAUUCAUUAAGGCCCAAUGAAAAUAUAAAUUAAUAAUUAAUCAAAUACAAAAAUUAAUAACUACUAAAAUAUAAAAUUUAUAACAUUAAAGAAAUUUUUGUUUUUCUUACAACUUCAAUCAUCUAAAUUAAACUCUUUGCAAAUAUAUGCAUAUAGAGUUGUUUUUUUUUAAUCCUAAAUUGAAUUCAAUCUCCUUUCUUAAUUUUUCUUUUUUUUUUCUAGAGCAUACACCACAUUUAGUAUAUAUAAAACUUUUUUUUUCAUGUUUUAGAAAGUAGUUAUUUAAGAUUAUUAUUGCUUGAAAGACAUCUUUUGUAUAAACAUUUGGUAAAACAUAAUUAUCAUUUGAAUCAUGAUUGUCAUCAACAGAGUUAUCCAAUACCCUUUUAAUAAUCUGUUGAAUCAGUGAGUGAUUCCAUCACUACAUCUAUGCUAUUAUGGAUAGUAGUCAUCGGAGGAGAUGUCGUUGACAUGAGGAAGUACGAUUUGUGUUUAUUUAAAAGUAAAAAUAUUGAUAAAACUCUUCCUAAAAAUAAAAUAACACAGUUCUGUUUCUAAAUUAAUAAAUAUUCAUUUAUCAACAAAUUAAUAAAUUAUUAAAAUUUAUAAAUAAAUAACUUCUCUAAAAUAAUUUUUUUUCUUAGUCCUAGCAAGUAGCAAUGUUAUUUUAUAGAGGUUUUAUUUUAGUAAUAACAAUAAUAUAAUAAUAAUAAUUAUCAUUAUAUAUAAUAUUUACUAUUAUGAUAGUUAUCAUUAUAAUCAUGAGAAGAAUUUCAUUAUUUUAAAAGGGGCAAAUUUUAAUUUUUAAAAACUAUGAGAAGAAUUUCAUUAUUUCCAUUAGUUUCAUUCUCAUACACACACACACACACACAUAAAGAAAUCAAUUAUUCACAUUUCCCUAUCCAACAAAUAAAUACUGUAAAUUAUUAUUUUUUUAAAAGAAAAAUAUCAAAACGGUGUGGGUCCCAGCAUAAUCCUUCUAACCUACCGGCUCCCUGUCGGAAAAAAAAAAAGAGAAAAUGUUUUUAUUAAGAAAAAAACAAAACAGAACGUAGAAGUAGGAGCAAGCAGGCCGCGUGGCAAACCCCUGUGGGUACCACCAUACGACUUCUAAGUUCUCACCUCCCUGCUUUUCCUCCCGGGCUUGUCCUUCCCUGGGGCGGUGACAUGCGUACCCACAAAAAAAAAAUUAUCUUUCUGUAUUUUUGUAUUAUUCUUUUUCUCCGCUCAUUUUGAAUUACACUGGCAAGUAUAAAAACGACACGCGUCCCACCUAAAGUCGUGAAUGUGAAAGAAGAUUUUGUAGGACUGCCGCACUAUUUGAGCAUGCCGUAUUGAAUAACGAAGCAGUCAGUGAAGACGUAGCUGAGCGGACUUGAGAACUAAGCUUGUGACGUGGAAGACAUAUUGCAUGAGUUUGCAGCUGAGGCUUUGCGGAGGAAGUUGGUUUUUGAACCAGCCGAUCUCGUUCAACCUCGUGCAAGUAAGUUGUGGAAGCUCGUUCCUACCUGCUGCACUAAAUAAUGUGAGGUUUGUCGUUGUCAAACAGAAUCAAGUUAUAUUAUUAUUGUGAUCCUUAUGAGCUUGGAAAAUGGGCAAGCCUUUCUGCAGUUUGACCGUUAUUUAUAUGUCAGAGAAAGAGUUUUGGGUUUGAUUUUGAUUUUGAUUUGUAUUUUUUGUCAGUUUAUUGAAAUUUUUUUGUUGUAUAAAAAUUUUAAUUGUCCAAUGAAAACCUAUCCAUUUUUGUCAAAUUCAGAUACAAAUACAGUUUUAAUUGUCCAAUGAAAAUGUGUCAUCAUCAGUGCAACCAGUUAAACAAUCCUUGCGUUGACAUUUUGACCGGAGGGGACAUGUUUUCUGAUCCUCUUUCUGAGUUAGUGACCAGAAAUAUUGUACCUGAAGGGGCUACUUGCUUGAUUUCUUGGACCAACCUGUUGUCGAACAUCAUGGUGGGUCGAAGCUGAUAAAAAAUCUUCUUCUACACAGGAUGGAAUAUUUCCAGCUAGCAGUGCCCUGCAGUACGUAAACUGUCUAGAGUGGCAUGGUAUAGUACUGCUCUUCUUGUGUUGUUUUCAACUUUAAUGUCAUACCAGGUUCAUCGUGUUUAUGGAGUAAAUUCUAGAAGUUCAACAAAUUUUGCUUUGCAAAAUGUAUAACUUAUUAAUCAGAGUCCUGUUAUGAUGAUUUGACGCUGACUGAACAUAUUCUGUUGGUAAUUUAUUUGCACUUUUCUUGGUUGAAUUAUUUGCUGGCUCCACGCGGUUACUAGGCCAGUAUUUUUAUGAUUUAUCGAUGGAAAGGUCUUCACAUAUUAAAUUCAACCUCAUAAGUGUAAGACUGACUGAUUCUGUGCAAAUUUUCAGGAAAAGAAACUAGACUUUAUGGAAGCAAUGAAGCUGAAAAGGAUAGACCUUUAUUGUCAAUUGGAACUGAUCCUGCCUCUAUAAAUCCAAAUGGAUUGCUUGAUGAAUCUUAAAUAGGAAGACCAUGUAGAGUAGCAAGCAAUCUUGCUUUACUUGGCCAAGUUUUCCUACAAAUAUUGUCAGUGCAAUUGGCGUUGAGAAUAGUGAUGAUAGUGUUUUAGACUUCUGGAAUAUUACUAGAAUCAGAGAGGGUUGUUCUGGUGCCAGGUGCGAUGUUUGUGCAGAAACUAAGGUGCCUGCUCGUGCCUCCUUUACUGUGUCUUCAGUUGGAGCUUCACAAUCCCCUUUGUUGUAUUCUCAAUGCAGAAGAAAGGUUUGCAGAGUUUGUUGUGCAGGAAGAGGAUCUCUACUGUUUUCAAAUUAUAAAUCAAGGGGUGUAAAAUGGCUUCUCAAGUCAGGGUGGACCAAGCCAUGGCAGCCAAGUUGAUGUAUUUACCAGUCGUUCACUAUCACUGGAUGGCAUAAUCUGUAGACAAUGCUGCCAUGAGAUUGUGCUUGAUGCAUGUUGGGCUAUGUUAGGUUCUUGACUAGCUUGGGAAGAAGUGCCGUUGCAGAAAAUGCAGCUUAUAAUGCUUGGAACGAGGUUGUUGGAUCUUUCUUAAAGGAUAAUCUUUCUGAAAGGAUUCAGUCUUAUGAUAAUGAGCAAGCUGUCAAAGUCCUUCACCAAUUAUAUGGAGAGUCAUUUUGUAUCAGUGAAAUCCAAUAAAUGAAGGAAUCACUUGCUGAAUUUCCAUUUGCUAGCUUUUUGCACUCGGUAUGUUCUUGGUUUGUACUCGGUUCUCAUCAAAUUAUGUUUUCCCUUUGCCUCUUUAGGUUAAAUUUAUUUUCCUGGUUAGAAUCUGUAGAAAUAUAUUUUAGCAUUUAAGCUUUAUGAUAUAUGCCCAGAACAUUCCUCUCACUUAUCCAUGGAAAUCCCUGUCUGGUUUAAUUUUCAAUUGAGAUAUUUUUGUGGACCCUGAGUGGGUUCCAUAUGCUAAUCAUCUUUAAGGUAAGGCGAUGGAGAAUGCCUUGAGAAGCUAAAAACCUAUUACAAGGAAAAGCUCUUGCAUUGUUUUGUGCAAUCUGUGUGCUACCGAGUCACGUCUCUAAUAAUUUCAAAGUUUGCUUGAUUGGAAUUUUUUAUCUUGGUAUGAUUGUUUAUUUUAGAUUCCUUGGUGCCACUGUAGGUAUGGCUCUCAUUCAUGGCUUCUACUUCAUCUUCCAAUCCUUCAACUACUGUUACUCUUUCUUCUACACUUUCUUUGCCGAAAUCUUGCACUUCUCAUACUGCCAACAAAAUUAAAAAUCUUGUAGAAUACUCCUACAUCCCUGAAUCCGCCCAAAUCAGUGAAUCUUCUUACCCUCUCAUCAGCCCUUACCACCUAUACAAACGCCCCAGUUCUUUUACCCGUAGUAUCCGUACUCUCAUAACCACCCGAAGACCUCACCCUAAAGAAUAUAUCCAGUCUUCUCGCUUGGAUCAGUGUUCACUCCAAGCAACCCCUGCUGAGCAAUAUGUCACUCUUGAAAUACCCUCAGAGUUAAUUUCCAACUGGAAACGAGAAUGUUACACUCAUCUCCAUCUUGGAGGUAUCAGAUUAAUCCUUACCCUUCAUGGGCGAAAAGGAUUACCGGUUACAGCUCGCCUUGCUAUGCUUGAUACCCGGUUUAAACAGUACCCAGAUGCUGUUAUUGGCACUGUCCUCACAACCCUUCAUGCAGGAAGUGUGUUACUCACUUUCUAUCCCAACUUCAACCUUUCUCUCCAAGAUCCCAACUUGCCCACAACCUUGAAGGUCCAAAUCCAACUUCAAGGUGUUGAACAAAUUUCUUCUGCCAAAAUUGCUACAUUACACCACCAACUGGUCUAUAGGCUUCAAAAUCAUGUCUUAGAUCUACCCACACCAGAACACCACUCUGACACCCUCAUGGUGUUAGCAGAAUCUGACCAGAUCCCGACAAUCAUCCAGAUCCCACGACAAAUUCCUCGUCAUGAGCUCAUCAAGCUUAUGCCUCUUGAAUGGAUCUCUAACUAUGAACAGUUCCACAAUAAUACAGCUCCCAUUCAGACAUCCGAAAGUAUGUUUGAAAGACGACAAGAUGGAACAGUCAGAAUGACUUUUAAACCACCUCCCAGUGCUCCACAAGAGCCUCCUCGGCUCUCCUUUACUUAUUCCUCAAUGAUCACAGCUGUUCAGACAGCCCAAGAAGAUCUGCCCAUUACAGGGUUUAAUUCUGAAGGUUACCCUGUUUAUCCAGCCAAACACAAUGGCCAUUUCCUAUGGGAUGCCCCUGGUUCCGGCAUGUGUGACCCAAAUUGUCCCUGCUGGGAUGAUUGGGAAGAAGACGAUGAUUAUGCAACCACAAGGAAAAAGAAACCCAAAAAGAAAAAACCUUCUGUCCCAUGUCACCACUGUGACGCCAAACCACCAUCAGAUCCUCCACCUCCACCAGCUCCAUUACCCAUCUAUCGAAAAGAACUCAAAUGGAUUGCCAAACAUUGCAAAUCUGAGAUUCCAUCACCACUUUCAAACCCAACGCCUAUCGUCCAACCACUGGCUUGUAUGAUGCUUUCCUCUACCUCUUCUGAUUACUCUUCUUCCUUUCCUUCUUUGGAACCCCACACAGAUCCCCAACGAAAUGUUGUGUCAAAACCCUUUAUCCCUUCACCUAUUACCUCUACUGGCCACCUGGAGCCCCCUAAACCCUUUGAGUCAGUCCUCAACUGGCAAACUCAAAAUGCCAGGGCCCAAAAUGAUACUUUGUUGCAUCUCAAUUCAAAAGUUGAGAACAUCAGUUUGCGAACUGAACAGAUUGAGAAAAAAGUUGACUCCAUCACUGCACAGAUGCAGCAGAUUUACCAAAACCUCCAGUCCAGAAUUUCUCAACUUGACUCUGAGUUACGAGCCAUGCUUGCCCAUCGUUACUCAGGCCCCGAAUUUGACCAAAAAGAAAGGGAAAUCAGACGCUUAAAAGCUGAACUUGCUCAGAUUGAAUCUGAAAAACAGAGACCUACCCUUUUCACCACUUCACCUCCUAUCCCUUCCAUCGGUCCAACUUAUCAUCCUUUUGCCUCUAUGCUUUCUCCUAUUAAACAGUAUGACCCUUCCAAGUUAUUUGGUAUGACUCAUACUCUUUUCAGAGACAAUCAUUUGCCACCACCACCUAAACCUAAACCUAAACCCAAACCUAGACCGCAGCCUCGCCCUGCCCCUCUUCAUCCUUCCUCAUUGACCAUCCCUGGCCAACCAUCUCCUAGUUCUACACCGGCAUCACCACCAGCUCCUUUAUCAGUCCCUACCCAAUCCAAGGAUAAAGAACCCAUGCACCAAUUUACUGCUCACACAGUCACCCAUUCAUCUACUACAGUCGAUUAAACUUCUGAUUCAAAUCCAGCUGUUUCAGAUAGCCCUACCGAAACUGAUACAGAAUCUUCAGUAUCCACCAGUGACUCUGAAAAGUCCUAUGCUGAUAUCACCAAAAUCCUGAUGGCUCAACCUGAUCAACCUACCCAAGGCCAAACCUCUCAUACAGAACCAUAUGUUGAUAUUCCCUCCGAAGUUGAAGAAGAAAUGCCUGAAUCUUCUGCCACAAACCAACCUUCUCCAGCCCAGACCAAUCCACCCAGUCACAAAUCGUCAAAUGGUCCAUGGUUCACAUUUGAUGAUCUUCCAUCUCAUAAAUGGUGUGACCGACUCAAUGAAAUGUCUGCCUGGAUUGACCUCCAGAUGCUAAGACCAGGAGCAACAACUCAAUCAGUCCUUAGAGAAUUUGCUACUCGUUUCACGGGUGCUCUAAGAGAUUGGUUUAAUUCGUUAGGACAAUACCGCCAACUAUAGUUUGUUGAUCUCCCAGAAGUCUCAAGUGCUCUUGCUGUACUUCAUGAUCAAUUCCUUGGAGACCCUUCUGCAGUCUUUGAAGCUGCCAGACGAGAUUAUCUCAACAUGAAAUGCUGCUCCCUCAAUGCUAAGGAUCUUGACUUUCAGUAUAAGGGAAUGUCCCUGCUGUUCUAUAAGCUUAAUGGAUUCAAUGAACCGACAUUAAAGCAUGUCUUUCUGGCUUCCCUCCCCGAAGAACUCCAACCCAACAUCCAGAGACAACUCACCGCAUCCAAUCUUUCCCUAGACAACAUCUCUCUUGGCAAAAUCUUUCAGCUUGCCAAAACUUGUCUUGACAAACUUUGCGAGCAAAAAGAGUUUUUCAAAGAACUGUUGAAAGACAAAGAACCUUUCCGAAGUGCUUGCAAAAAGCCUUAUUUGCAGAUCAAAUGCCACAAGAAAAAAGAUUGCGAUUGCAGUUCAAAGAAAAAACGGCAUUUUCAGAAAUUCAAAACUCCAGAAUUUUCAUCCAAACCUCGCAGAUCGCGAAAGCCCUACCGAUUCUUCAGAAAGAAAUCUUCCUCCUCCAGAGAAUUCAAACGAAAGCAAUCAAGCAGAUGUUUCAUCUGCAAGAGAAAAGGCCACUAUGCCAAAUAUUGUCCCAACAAAAGAGAAAAAUCCAUCCGGUUAGUUGAGCAUCUUCAAGCAACUACCGACUACUCUCCUGCCAAAGAUGAGCUGGAAUUCUAUUUCUCUGAACAAGAUGAACCCAAUGAUGAAACAGUGUUCGCACUACAGAAUUCCUCUGAUUCAGACAGUGACCAGUCUCAAGUGAUUUUCCAUCAACAGUCACUCUCCCUUGAUACUACAGUUCCUAUCCCAUCCAUCAAACUCCAGAUCUUACCCUCAAAAUUCCAAAGGUCCAUUCCAGCAAUUGGUCUUAUAGAUACUGGCGCCAAACGCAGCAUGUUAAACCCCCAUAUUCUUCCAUCCGAAUAUUGGACCCAGUCUGAAGAACAUUUCAAAGCUGUCAAUGGCAAACUCUUCACCACCUCUUUGAUUACCAAGAAACCCAUUGGCAUUCAAAUCUUCCCAAAUUAUGUCAUUUGGACCAAAGUUAUUGGUUCAACUCUUCCUAAUAAGGAUAUCUUGUUAGGAUUUGACAUCCUUCACCAAACCAAACACCUCCAAAUCAUUCCCACUGGAAUCCGUGUCAAGUCCAUGUUCAAACCAUUCACAGACAUUCUGAAGCUCUACAAUUUGUCUGAAACUCCCCAGUCUUACCAGGAUAUCUCAACCAAACUUUUGAGUUUCUGUCCAGAGUCCCAUUCUGAGUUCACCCAUCCAAAUCCUUUGUGGAAAAAUAAGUCCUUCUUCAUUAAGUUACCCUUCAAACUAAAUGAAGACAUCAACCCGACCAAAGCUACUCAUCCAGGAAUGAGUCUUUCUGACUUACUCCUAGCCCAACAAGAAUGUUCACAAUUGUUAGCCCAAGGUUUAAUUGAGCCCACAAGUUCUCCAUGGGCUUGCCAAGCCUUUUAUGUUGAAAAGCAUUCUGAAAUUGUCCGAGGAAAGAAACACCUAGUCAUUGACUACCAGCCAUUAAAUAUGUUUUUACAAGAUGACAAAUUUCCUUUACCUCGCCGACAAAGCAUGUUUACUUUUCUAAAAAAUGCCCAGAUCUUUUCAAAAUUUGAUUUAAAAUCAGGUUUCUGGCAACUAGGCAUUGAACCCUCCGAACGCUACAAAACCGCUUUUUGUAUUCCCAAUGCCCACUUUCAAUGGACCGUCCUACCCUUUGGUCUCAAAACUGCCCCAUCCAUUUUCUAAAAAUCCAUGGUCCAAAUCUUCCAACCCAUUUUGCAUCAUGCAUUGAUUUAUAUUGAUGAUAUCUUGCUUUUUUCAGGCUCACAUGAUGACCAUCGCCAGCUGUUAACUCAAUUCUAUGAUAUUCUCCAAAGUCAUGGAAUCAUGUUAUCGGCCAAGAAAAACAUCAUUGCUACAGAUAAUGUUGAAUUCCUUGGUAUGAUCAUAAAAGAUGGACACUAUCAGCCAGGAAAACACAUUGCCCAAGAAUUGCUUCACUUUCCAUAUCAGCAACUUUCCAGAAGGCAAAUUCAACAGUUUCUCGGCAUCAUCAACUACAUCCGUGAUUUCAUCCCCCACGUGGAUCAUUACACUCACCAUCUCUCGUCUUUAUUGAAAAAGAAGCCCCUAGAAUGGAAUGCUGACCACACAUUUGCUGUCACUACCCUAAAGCAGAUUGCGCAAAAUCCGCCUCCUUUAAAGUUGAUUACAGAUGGCAAGCGCAUCUUACAGACAGACGCAAGUGAUGAAUCAUGGGGUGUCAUACUCCUUGAAGAAAUCAACGGAAAAGAACACUUUAUCGCUUACGUUAGUGGACAUUCUUCUGACACACAGAAGCACUACCAUAGCGUGUUCAAAGAAAUCUUAGCGGUAAAGAAUGGCAUCAAAAAGAUUGAGUAUCAUUUGAUUGGACACCAUUUUCUCAUCCGAAUGGACGGCUCAGCCUUCCCCAAUAUCUUUCAUUCCAAAGGUAAAAUUGUUCCCGAAAAAAUGUUACUCAGAUUAAAAGAUUGGUAUUCCAAAUAUGACUUUUCAGUCAAGCAUAUAAAGGGAUCCCAGAACCUCAUCCCUGAUAUCAGAGCAGUUAAGAGCGAAGUCUGUUUUGGUUGAGAUAUCUCAGGUUAUACAACCCACGUACACUCUUAACUGCUCUGAUAUCAGGGAUGAGGUUCUGGGAUCCCUUUAUAUGCUUGACUGAAAAGUCAUAUUUGGAAAAUCAAUCUUUUAAUCUGAGUAACAUUUUUUCGGGAACAAUUUUACCUUUGGAAUGAAAGAUAUUGGGGAAGGCUGAGCUGUCCAUUCGGAUGAGAAAAUGGUGUCCAAUCAAAUGAUACUCAAACUUUUUGAUGCCAUUCUUUACCGCUAAGAUUUCAUUGAACACGCUAUGGUAGUGCUUCUGUGUGUCAGAAAAAUGUCCACUAGCGUAAGCGAUAAAGUGUUCUUUUCCGUUGAUUUCUUCAAAGAGUAUGGCACCCCAUGAUUCAUCACUUGCGUCUGUUUGUAAGAUGCGCUUGCCAUCUGUAAUCAACUUUAAAGGAGGCGGAUUUUGCGCAAUCUGCUUUAGGGUAGUGACAGCAAAUGUGUGGUCAGCAUUCCAUUCUGGGGGCUUCUUUUUCAAUAAAGCCGAGAGAUGGUGAGUGUAAUGAUUCACGUGGGGGAUGAAAUCACGGAUGUAGUUGAUGAUGCCGAGAAACUGUUGAAUUUGCCUUCUGGAAAGUUGCUGAUCUGGAAAGUGAAGCAAUUCUUGGGCAAUGUGCUUUCCUGGCUGAUAGUGUCCAUCUUUUAUGAUCAUACCAAGGAAUUCAACAUUAUCUGUAGCAAUGAUGCUUUUCUUGGCCGAUAACAUGAUUCCAUGACUUUGGAGAAUAUCAUAGAAUUGAGUUAACAGCUGGCGAUGGUCAUCAUGUGAGCCUGAAAAAAGCAAGAUAUCAUCAAUAUAAAUCAAUGCAUGAUGCAAAAUGGAUUGGAAGAUUUGGACCAUGGAUUUUUAGAAAAUGGAUGGGGCAGUUUUGAGACCAAAGGGUAGGACGGUCCAUUGAAAGUGGGCAUUGGGAAUACAAAAAGCGGUUUUGUAGCGUUCGGAGGGUUCAAUGCCUAGUUGCCAGAAACCUGAUUUUAAAUCAAAUUUUGAAAAGAUCUGGGCAUUUUUUAGAAAAGUAAACAUGCUUUGUCGGCGAGGUAAAGGAAAUUUGUCAUCUUGUAAAAACAUAUUUAAUGGCUGGUAGUCAAUGACUAGGUGUUUCUUUCCUCGGACAAUUUUAGAAUGCUUUUCAACAUAAAAGGCUUGGCAAGCCCAUGGAGAACUUGUGGGCUCAAUUAAACCUUGGGCUAACAAUUGUGAACAUUCUUGUUGGGCUAGGAGUAAGUCAGAAAGACUCAUUCCUGGAUGAGUAGCUUUGGUCGGGUUGAUGUCUUCAUUUAGUUUGAAGGGUAACUUAAUGAAGAAGGACUUAUUUUUCCACAAAGGAUUUGGAUGGGUGAACUCAGAAUGGGACUCUGGACAGAAACUCAAAAGUUUGGUUGAGAUAUCCUGGUAAGACUGGGGAGUUUCAGACAAAUUGUAGAGCUUCAGAAUGUCUGUGAAUGGUUUGAACAUGGACUUGACACGGAUUCCAGUGGGAAUGAUUUGGAGGUGUUUGGUUUGGUGAAGGAUGUCAAAUCCUAACAAGAUAUCCUUAUUAGGAAGAGUUGAACCAAUAACUUUGGUCCAAAUGACAUAAUUUGGGAAGAUUUGAAUGCCAAUGGGUUUCUUGGUAAUCAAAGAGGUGGUGAAGAGUUUGCCAUUGACAGCUUUGAAAUGUUCUUCAGACUGGGUCCAAUAUUCGGAUGGAAGAAUAUGGGGGUUUAACAUGCUGCGUUGGGCGCCAGUAUCUAUAAGACCAAUUGCUGGAAUGGACCUUUGGAAUUUUGAGGGUAAGAUCUGGAGUUUGAUGGAUGGGAUAGGAACUGUAGUAUCAAGGGAGAGUGACUGUUGAUGGAAAAUCACUUGAGACUGGUCACUGUCUGAAUCAGAGGAAUUCUGUAGUGCGAACACUGUUUCAUCAUUGGGUUCAUCUUGUUCAGAGAAAUAGAAUUCCAGCUCAUCUUUGGCAGGAGAGUAGUCGGUAGUUGCUUGAAGAUGCUCAACUAACCGGAUGGAUUUUUCUCUUUUGUUGGGACAAUAUUUGGCAUAGUGGCCUUUUCUCUUGCAGAUGAAACAUCUGCUUGAUUGCUUUCGUUUGAAUUCUCUGGAGGAGGAAGAUUUCUUUCUGAAGAAUCGGUAGGGCUUUCGCGAUCUGCGAGGUUUGGAUGAAAAUUCUGGAGUUUUGAAUUUCUGAAAAUGCCGUUUUUUCUUUGAACUGCAAUCGCAAUCCUUUUUCUUGUGGCAUUUGAUCUGCAAAUAAGGCUUUUUGCAAGCACUUCGGAAAGGUUCUUUGUCUUUCAACAGUUCUUUGAAAAACUCUUUUUGCUCGCAAAGUUUGUCAAGACAAGUUUUGGCAAGCUGAAAGAUUUUGCCAAGAGAGAUGUUGUCUAGGGAAAGAUUGGAUGCGGUGAGUUGUCUCUGGAUGUUGGGUUGGAGUUCUUCGGGGAGGGAAGCCAGAAAGACAUGCUUUAAUGUCGGUUCAUUGAAUCCAUUAAGCUUAUAGAACAGCAGGGACAUUCCCUUAUACUGAAAGUCAAGAUCCUUAGCAUUGAGGGAGCAGCAUUUCAUGUUGAGAUAAUCUCGUCUGGCAGCUUCAAAGACUGCAGAAGGGUCUCCAAGGAAUUGAUCAUGAAGUACAGCAAGAGCACUUGAGACUUCUGGGAGAUCAACAAACUAUAGUUGGCGGUAUUGUCCUAACGAAUUAAACCAAUCUCUUAGAGCACCCGUGAAACGAGUAGCAAAUUCUCUAAGGACUGAUUGAGUUGUUGCUCCUGGUCUUAGCAUCUGGAGGUCAAUCCAGGCAGACAUUUCAUUGAGUCGGUCACACCAUUUAUGAGAUGGAAGAUCAUCAAAUGUGAACCAUGGACCAUUUGACGAUUUGUGACUGGGUGGAUUGGUCUGGGCUGGAGAAGGUUGGUUUGUGGCAGAAGAUUCAGGCAUUUCUUCUUCAACUUCGGAGGGAAUAUCAACAUAUGGUUCUGUAUGAGAGGUUUGGCCUUGGGUAGGUUGAUCAGGUUGAGCCAUCAGGAUUUUGGUGAUAUCAGCAUAGGACUUUUCAGAGUCACUGGUGGAUACUGAAGAUUCUGUAUCAGUUUCGGUAGGGCUAUCUGAAACAGCUGGAUUUGAAUCAGAAGUUUAAUCGACUGUAGUAGAUGAAUGGGUGACUGUGUGAGCAGUAAAUUGGUGCAUGGGUUCUUUAUCCUUGGAUUGGGUAGGGACUGAUAAAGGAGCUGGUGGUGAUGCCGGUGUAGAACUAGGAGAUGGUUGGCCAGGGAUGGUCAAUGAGGAAGGAUGAAGAGGGGCAGGGCGAGGCUGCGGUCUAGGUUUGGGUUUAGGUUUAGGUUUAGGUGGUGGUGGCAAAUGAUUGUCUCUGAAAAGAGUAUGAGUCAUACCAAAUAACUUGGAAGGGUCAUACUGUUUAAUAGGAGAAAGCAUAGAGGCAAAAGGAUGAUAAGUUGGACCGAUGGAAGGGAUAGGAGGUGAAGUGGUGAAAAGGGUAGGUCUCUGUUUUUCAGAUUCAAUCUGAGCAAGUUCAGCUUUUAAGCGUCUGAUUUCCCUUUCUUUUUGGUCAAAUUCGGGGCCUGAGUAACGAUGGGCAAGCAUGGCUCGUAACUCAGAGUCAAGUUGAGAAAUUCUGGACUGGAGGUUUUGGUAAAUCUGCUGCAUCUGUGCAGUGAUGGAGUCAACUUUUUUCUCAAUCUGUUCAGUUCGCAAACUGAUGUUCUCAACUUUUGAAUUGAGAUGCAACAAAGUAUCAUUUUGGGCCCUGGCAUUUUGAGUUUGCCAGUUGAGGACUGACUCAAAGGGUUUAGGGGGCUCCAGGUGGCCAGUAGAGGUAAUAGGUGAAGGGAUAAAGGGUUUUGACACAACAUUUCGUUGGGGAUCUGUGUGGGGUUCCAAAGAAGGAAAGGAAGAAGAGUAAUCAGAAGAGGUAGAGGAAAGCAUCAUACAAGCCAGUGGUUGGACGAUAGGCGUUGGGUUUGAAAGUGGUGAUGGAAUCUCAGAUUUGCAAUGUUUGGCAAUCCAUUUGAGUUCUUUUCGAUAGAUGGGUAAUGGAGCUGGUGGAGGUGGAGGAUCUGAUGGUGGUUUGGGGUCACAGUGGUGACAUGGGACAGAAGGUUUUUUCUUUUUGGGUUUCUUUUUCCUUGUGGUUGCAUAAUCAUCGUCUUCUUCCCAAUCAUCCCAGCAGGGACAAUUUGGGUCACACAUGCCGGAACCAGGGGCAUCCCAUAGGAAAUGGCCAUUGUGUUUGGCUGGAUAAACAGGGUAACCUUCAGAAUUAAACCCUGUAAUGGGCAGAUCUUCUUGGGCUGUCUGAACAGCUGUGAUCAUUGAGGAAUAAGUAAAGGAGAGCCGAGGAGGCUCUUGUGGAGCACUGGGAGGUGGUUUAAAAGUCAUUCUGACUGUUCCAUCUUGUCGUCUUUCAAACAUACUUUCGGAUGUCUGAAUGGGAGCUGUAUUAUUGUGGAACUGUUCAUAGUUAGAGAUCCAUUCAAGAGGCAUAAGCUUGAUGAGCUCAUGACGAGGAAUUUGUCGUGGGAUCUGGAUGAUUGUCGGGAUCUGGUCAGAUUCUGCUAACACCAUGAGGGUGUCAGAGUGGUGUUCUGGUGUGGGUAGAUCUAAGGCAUGAUUUUGAAGCCUAUAGACCAGUUGGUGGUGUAAGGUAGCAAUUUUGGCGGAAGAAAUUUGUUCAGUACCUUGAAUUUGGAUUUGGACCUUCAAGGUUGUGGGCAAGUUGGGAUCUUGGAGAGAAAGGUUGAAGUUGGGAUAGAAAGUGAGUAACACACUUCCUGCAUGAAGGGUUGUGAGGACAGUGCCAAUAACAGCAUCUUGGUAUUGUUUAAACCGUGUAUCAAGCAUAGCAAGGUGAGCUGUAACCGGUAAUCCUUUUCUCCCAUGAAGGGUAAGGAUUAAUCUGAUACCUCCAAGAUGGAGAUGAGUGUAACCUUCGCGUUUCCAGUUGGAAAUCAACUCUGAGGGUAUUUCCAGAGUGACAUAUUGCUCAGCAGGGGUUGCUUGGAGUGAACACUGAUCCAGGCGAGAAGACUAGAUGUAUUCUUUAGGGUGAGGUCUUCGGGUGGAUAUGAGAGUACAGAUACUGCGGGUAAAAGAACUGGGGCGUUUGUAUAGGUGGUAAGGGCUGAUGAGAGGGUAAGAAGAUUCACUGAUUUGGGCGGAUUCAGGAAUGUAGGAGUAUUCUACAAGAUUUUCAAUUUUGUUGGCAGUAUGAGAAGUGCAAGAUUUCGGCAAAGAAAGAGUGGAAGAAAGAGUAACAGGAGUUGAAGGAUUGGAAGAUGAAGUAGAAGUCAUGAAUGAGAAAUUCUCUCUGCGUGUGAAGUCUAAUGAUCAAAACAGAAUAAAGUCAUAAAUUAUACCAUUUUGAGCAUGAAAACAAGAAGUAGAAGCCAUGAACAGCAAAAGAUUCAACACCAGUUUUGUCACCGCUUGCUCCAUUAAAUUCUGGAUUAAAGCAAUCAUAUCGGAGAGCUCCUCCUAGUACUACUAUUGUUGAAUUUGUUUUUGUUCUUGGUAUUCUGAUGUUAGUGAGGUUAUCUUGCUUGUUAGUCCUUGUGGCUAUUCUCUGGCUACACUCCAAUGGUAAGUACAAUAUAUAUCCUUCUUGUUCAAUAAAUUUGGUCAUAAGCCAAGUGGCCUUAGUAAUGAAGCCCAAUAACAUUCAACUUGUGAAUAUUCAUAAGCAAACACUCAACAUAUAACCUCAGCAAAAGUUCUCCAUGCUAUGGCAAUGGAAGGCAUCUUUUUACAUGUUUGAAGGAGUCCCUGUGUCGUGCCAUUGCCAAAGAAAAUAAAAUAGCCUGGGCAUUUAGUUUCAUGUAGGGUAUUUUCUGAUAAUCAACUUUCCCUUAUAUUAAUUGCUGAUGUCAAACCAAGUAAGAAAAAUUUUGUUGCUCAUCAUUUAUGUAUAUUUUGGUAAAUUGUAAUUUUAAAUCCUCAACCAACUUCCCUUUGUGGGUAAUAAGGUAGUCCACUCUUUGAUAUUUAUGAUUGUAGAUCACGUUUCUAUUGGAUUGCCUUUAUCAUUCUGAAGCCAAGAUUGAUGUUAACAGCGAUCACAUCAAAUGUGGUGAAGAUCUGAAAUCAAAUUUGAAAUUGAGGGGAAAGAAAGAAAAGGGACCACAGUAAUUAAACAAAACUAUGAAAAUUUAGGUCAGAUUAGUUCAGUUUCGAUUCUAAGAAGCUUUAAUCUGGAUGAACAAUUUUCAAAUCUCCAAUUUAGAAUUGCUAGAGAAACUGUAGCUUUCACAUUAGUAAAAAUAAAGAAACAAUUGGAACUAUCUGGCCCUUUCUUUAUUGAAUGUGUGUGUCCAAGGUGCAGCGUCACUUAGUCAAUUGUUGCAAUUUUCUUCCCUGUAGUGCUCUCUACUUACUGAUUUGCUACCAAGCUCAUAUCUUUCUUAGGCCUUUUGCUUCCUAUUGCCGUUGCAGGUGCAAAUUCGGGCCAGCAAUAAAAUGCACUGGGAAGAAAAGUCAUCCAUGGGAAAAUGGGAUGUCCGAUCCCUGAUUACAGCUUCUUCAGAUUUGUAGUUGAGAAAAGUCGGCUAGUGUUGAUAAAUUACCUAGGCAUGUAAAAUUUACUUUUAAGAAUCCUGUUAGGUGCUGCAUUAUUUGCGUCACAUUACGUCUUCAGGGACCUGGAUCGGCAUCGGUUAAUUUAGGGAUGGACUUCAGUCUUUUGUCUGUUGAUGAAGACGAAAACCCGUUUGCACUAUUAGAUUGACGUGUUUCAUUUGGAGGAGCAGUUGAAGUGAACCAU